rfam:Ovis aries breed Texel chromosome 17, whole genome shotgun sequence.
UCCCUGGUGGUCCAGUGGUUAGGACUCUGCACUUCCACUGAAGGGGAUACAAGUUCAAUCCCUGGUCAGGGAA